rnacentral:tRNA from 1 species
UGCGGGGUGGAGCAGUGGCAGCUCGUUGGGCUCAUAACCCAAAGGUCGGAGGUUCGAAUCCUCCCCCCGCUA